GGAAAGUUUUUGCUUGUGGUGCCGGUUUCCCGCUUCCCACCCAUUGCUCCAUCAGCUCCCGGGGCUCUGCGGCGGCGGCGGCGGCGGCUGCUGCUCGAUGUGGGGAUCUGAAGAAAUUUUUGUGAAAGGCUGCUACAUUGCUCAAAGAUGGGACCGAGUGUUGUCUAUGGAGGGACAAGAUGUAUCACAUACUUCAGGUUAUAGAUCAGAGCUCAAACCUCACUGGUUCCCUUUGGCUUAAGCUGAUUAACCGAGCUCUGCCAUUAAUAUCUGUGAAAUAUCUUGGCAGACCCAUCUGAGAGGUGGAGCAGUUUUCAACUACAGCUACGAAACAAGAGUUUGCUCUGGAGUUGCUAUACUAGUGGGUCAGUUCUCCAUUUCUCAAUGAAAUGUCACGCUGGAAGCUGUUUGUGAGCAGUUGUCAGCAGGUGCCUUCUAGGACAAUCUCUUUCAUGAUCUUCCCAGGCACAGAGGUGAGGCUGACAGGGAGAAGCAUCUGACAGCAUGGGACAGACAUCCAGCAUUCAGCUUCAGUUCCUGGCUCUAGAAAUGCAAAAGGAGAAGUGUUGUUUGGCCCAAGGACAUGGCAUCCUGGGACCUGGGCAGGGUGAGAAGAGGCCCUGGGGGAGGCUGGGCAGGGCUGAAUUGCAGAACAGCCAAGGUUGGAAGGGAGGUCGAAAGAUCAUCUGGUCCAACCCUUCAUGGGAAAGGGAGCCUGGGUGUGAUUAUGGAGCACCCUGUCCAAUUCCAUCUUGAAAACCUCCAGCGAUGGGGUCACCACCACAUCUCUGGGGAGGUUGUUCCAGUUCCUAGGAUUGUUCUCACUGUAAAAAAUUUAUUUUUAUGGCAAGAUGAAACCUCCCUCAGUGCGACUUGUAUCCAUUGCCUCUUGUCUUCUCAUUGUGGCUCCUUGUGAAGAGAGAGCCUCUGUCCUCUUUGUAGCUGCCCUUUAAGUGACCAUCUCCAAACCAUACAAAACCAAGACAUUCUAUUUCAUACUGUGUGUAAUCACAUAACAAAUGACA